rnacentral:rRNA from 1 species
GAUGAACGCUGGCGGCGUGCCUAAUACAUGCAAGUCGAGCGAACAGACGAGGAGCUUGCUCCUCUUACGUUAGCGGCGGACGGGUGAGUAACACGUGGAUAACCUACCUAUAAGACUGGGAUAACUUCGGGAAACCGGAGCUAAUACCGGAUAAUAUAUUGAACCGCAUGGUUCAAUAGUGAAAGACGGUUUUGCUGUCACUUAUAGAUGGAUCCGCGCCGCAUUAGCUAGUUGGUAAGGUAACGGCUUACCAAGGCGACGAUGCGUAGCCGACCUGAGAGGGUGAUCGGCCACACUGGAACUGAGACACGGUCCAGACUCCUACGGGAGGCAGCAGUAGGGAAUCUUCCGCAAUGGGCGAAAGCCUGGCGGAGCAACGCCGCGUGAGUGAUGAAGGUCUUCGGAUCGUAAAACUCUGUUAUUAGGGAAGAACAAAUGUGUAAGUAACUAUGCACGUCUUGACGGUACCUAAUCAGAAAGCCACGGCUAACUACGUG